rfam:Clostridium intestinale TRNW genomic scaffold scaffold1, whole genome shotgun sequence.
CCGUGCUAGAUGGGGAGUUAGCGGUGCCCUGUAACCUGCAAUCCGCUAUAGCAGGAUUGAAUUCCUCGCCUAGGCUUUAAUUUGUGGAGUCUGCCCUAAGCAAGUAGUGUUGAGGAUUGGGUCCCACGCAACGGAAGCUCAUGAACCUCGUCAGGUCCGGAAGGAAGCAGCGAUAAGUGAAUCCUUCCGUGUGCCGUGGAUUAACCUGGUCUGAGCUAACUACUUAGGUAACGUUCAUAGAUUACUGUCGAAGCGAGGUGCACGG